GAUGCCGUGGCCGAGUGGUUAAGGCGACAGACUUGAAAUCUGUUGGGUUCGCCCGCGCAAGUUCAAAUCUUGUCGGCAUCG